AAUCAACACUCCACUCAGACAAUGCCCAGACCUCCAGAAAUCAUGUGUCAAGCUUGGAUUGCCUUAGACAGGUGCAAUUUUAAAACAGCUUUCAUCCUCUUUUCUCUCAUAUUGUCACACUAUGGGUUCUGACUUCUGGCUCCUUUCCUCACAAGAAGCUCACCCAGCUGGAACUCUUAUGGGACCUUGGCACCAGAGACCACCAAUUCCUCUUUGAAGUUUUCUAACAGCAUCAUUGGUAUUUCUGACUUGGCUUUCUUGUAUUUCUCUCACGUUAACAAAACUGGUUGAGCAUCUACCACGGGCUACAUGCUGAGCUACAGGUGCUGUUGAUGAAACUGCCAAAGGAGCUGAAUAUGACUGACAUCUUUGGAAGGAUGAGACUUAGCGUGCCCGUACAGUUGUGUCCAAAUGCUGUCCUUAUCUCCCAAUGGAAAGCCCCAAACAAGUCACAUGUGUAAUGCAGUGGGAGAGCAGUGCCCUGAAGGAAAAGGUGGCCGGCUGGACUGCCAAGAGAACAGACGUCCGCUGCAAGUAAUAUGAGCCGUCCCCAGGUUCUGCCUCCAUCCUGACGUCCAGUGUUGGAUUCCUCUUCACAUCAACCCCUCUCUGCAGGUUGGGCCAUCAGACCCUACCUCCUUAUUUAUGUUGAGCAAAGGAGAGAGAAUGCCUCUACAGACAACGAAAAAAGUGAAAAAAAAAAUCCUUCUCCUCCUUAUAACUUUAGUUAGCUUAACUUUAGUCAGUUUAACUUUAGUCAGUUGCUUAGCUACUAAACAGUAGCUAUUAGGAGGUGGGAAGGAAUACUAUUGUGUAAUCAACUAAGGCUCAUACAGAAGAUUAGGGUUAUCUGGAAUGAUUUGAAUUCAUUAGAAUUUACUCUCAGAGCUGUGGCAAUUCCUUGAACCACAUUGAUUGCUAUAAGGUAGAAGAGGAAUAGAUUGAAUUUUGGGGAGUCAACUACAAUGUGUACUACAGGUAAAUACUAUGAAUUUCCAAUUCACAGAUGAGAAAAUUGAGGCAUGUGCUGGGAGGGAGGUUAUGUAAUUUGCCCAAUAUCACAAUUGAACCUAGGCAAAAGCCUAUCUCCAGGUCUAACAAUUCAGUGACCUCCUGUGUACAUUUCUGUCUCUCUGUUUUUUAGAGUCGGGGUCUCACUGGGCCACCCAGGCUGGAUUGCAGUGGCUUGAUCAUGGAGAUCGUGGCUUUCUGUAGCCUUGAACUCCUGGGCUCAAGUGAUCCUCCUGCCCCAGCUUCCCGAGUGGCUGGGACUACAGGCUUGACAACACACCCGGCUAUCCUGUGUACAUUUCUUGAGAGCUUAUGAUAUAUAAGAGAAACUCUAAAAUAAGGGGAGGGUAUGCUAAGGGGAAGACCAAAUCACUAUCGAGGUGGAUUCAAUCCUACCUCUUUUAUUUCCUAGUUGUGUGACUCUUUUGAAAGGGGAAUAAUAGGCCAGGCACGGUGGCUCCUGCCUGUAAUCCCAGCACUUUGGGAGGCCCAGGCGGGCAGAUCACAUGAGGUUAGAAGUUCAAGACCAGCCUAGCCAACAUGGCGAAACGCCAUCUCCUCUAAAAAUACAAAACUUAGCCGGGAAUGGUGGCGUGUGCCUAUAGUCCCAGCUCCUCAGGAGACUGAGGCAGGAGAAUCGCUUGAACCUGGGAGGCAGAGGUUGCAGCGAGCCGAGAUUGCGCCACUGCACUUCAGCCUGGGUGACAGUGAGACUCCAUCUCAAAAAAAAGAAAAA
rnacentral:lncRNA from 1 species